AACUAUAAUCUGUACAUUCUUUUCCUAGAAAAGUUUAUCUCCAGGACAAAGUUUUUAAAACGUGGUAUAAAAUAUUUGAGGUCAAAUUUAUAAUUCACAUUCAGUUAUCUAUUUUUGUAAAAGUUCAUGUGUAUUCUGUUAGUUAAAUACUUUUAAUCUGCAGCAGUAACGACUUCAGAAUUAAAGCGCGUAUCAACUCUAGUAUCGUCUUAAGUCAACAACAAUGUCUGCAAGGAAUAUUGAAACAAUAACAAUUGCCAUCGUUGGUAAAACUGGACAUGGAAAAUCCAGCACUGGGAACACAAUUUUACGACAGCAUGCCUUUGAAGAGACUCCAAAUUCUUCCGAUUCAACAGAAAUUUUAGGGCUACGACGUGAAUAUUUCGACAACUACCUAUUCAAAGUGUAUGAUCUUCCUGGAGUUAAAUCGACUUCAUUUUCCCAUGAUCACAUAAAUAGACAAUUGCUUUCCCUUAUGGACACCGCUUCCAAAAUUGAUCUUUUUAUGUUUGUGUUUAGUUAUAGAUGCCAUUUCACUGCCGAAGAAGAAGGAUCAUUGUGUGACCUUCAGAAAGUUUUUGGAAAACAUUUUCUGAGAAAUCACGGUAUCAUUGUGGUCACUCAUGGAGAUUACUGUAGCAAAGAUGCUUCUGAAAGAAAUAUUACCCCAGAUGAAGCCUUCAGACAAUGGUGUGAAAAUUCCAGAGAUGAAUUCAAGCGCAUAAAGUAUAUGGUGAAUAAUCGACUAUUGCUUGUUUGCAAUAAAGGUUCUCUUGAAGAUAAUGAUCGAUUGGAAUCGUCCAAAAAGAUGCAUGAAAUGGCCAUCAAAAUGUUUAAGCAAAGAACACCGUACACAAAAGAAGAGUUUGAAAAAACUAAUAGUAGAUGUAACUUUUUAUAAAUAAGAGAAAAUGUGUAUAGCCAAUAUCCUUUUUUUUUAUUAAAGAAACCAUCUAAAAAAAUAGAUGAAUUCUGUUUAAAAACAAAAGUAUGGACAGCUACUUUAGAUAAACAUAAAAUGCAGUACAGAUUUUUACAGUGGGAAACACCAAUUUAAGCUUCUUAAAUAAAUUUAAAUAAAAUAUACAUCAUGAAGUUUAAAUUGAAAAAUAAUGUUAAAGAAUUCUAUAACUAUUUUUUUUAUAACUUUUUAUUAGUAAACUAAAAUUUAACAUAACGUUGAGUUUGUACCAUAAUAAACCACGACACUUACACACACACAUAUGACUUUAUUGUGCCUUUAAUUCAAUUUUUAUUAUAAUGACCCUGCAAAUUUUAAUCCAAUGCAAGCAAUGUACCGAAUAGUCUCCGAAUAGAUUUUCAUCAAUUUCAGGACUAUAUAUAAAACAAGGUUACAAAAGACAGUUUGUGUGGAAACACAAACUCAAAAUCGGCCCCCGAAGUAGUCCACCCAGUUAGGCUUCAAUAUCUUUCAGAAAGAACAUCCGAAUGAAAUUAUAUCAAAGACAAAUGAGAGAUAAGAAUGGAGAAAAAAGGUCGACAGAUCUUGUGUAGUGCCCCAACGGUCCCGCAGAUCAAACAAUAGGUGAAAGUGAAUGUAAAGUUAGAUGUGAACCUGGCCUAACUAGUUCCCCUUUCAGACCUUGUGGUCUAUAGGGCAGAUGAUGUUCAUCUGUUUUUGUGGCCUACGGUUAACGAGGGUGUCAUGUAGCCAGCACAACGACCAACCGCCUUUACUUUUCCCCAACUAAUGUCAGCUACCCAUUAGAGCUGAGUAGACUCAGAGGCGCCCAAAGAUUCCAAAGUUGAAAAUCCCAGUCUUCACCAGGAUUCGAAACCGGGACCCCCGGUUCAAAAGCCAAGCACUUUACCGCUCAGCCACCGCACCUCCUCUGGCCUAAAUGAUGUCUUAUAAUUGAUCUAAUUGUUUUGAAAAGGCUCAAUCUCUUAUUCUAAUACUCAAAAUAAAAAUAUAAAAGGCAUUAAAUUUUUGCAAUAUAAAGAAGUUCAGGAAAAUGAACUUUACAAGAUUAUUAUUUAUUUUUAAUUAGGUCUAACUUAUAAUGAAUACUAAUUAGCUUUUUCUCUUUAAAAAACUGCUUGCAUAACUGAUUUUAAAAAUUAGAUUUUUCGCUUUCAAAAAAAAAAAAAAGUAACCGUUGCAUCAGAACUUUGAAUGGUCUAAAAUAUUGUGAUUUCGGAUUUUCAAUAUCUUUUCUAGUUUACGAGAUCUAAACGGGACGAACGGACAGACGGACAGACAUUUCGCACAAAACUAAUUGCGUCUUUUCCCCUUUCGAGGGCCGCUAAAAUGCAUUUUCCAAAGGCCUCAAUGGAAUGCUAUAUUCCUGUUAUUUUGUUUAGUUUUUUUUCUAAGUAUAAAUAUUGUAUUGGUUUGAUUUAUAGUAAUCGUUUAUCUCACCUCUUUUGAAUGUAGCGAAGUGAUAAUAUAUUUAUAUUCCUCUAUCUCUUUCUCGAAAACAAAAGACUCUAUAUCUUUCUUAUUAGUGAUAUUAGGAUUGUUUGUUUUUUUUCGUUUUUUAGGACAACGUCUAUAAGAAAGUGGAAAUGACGUUAAAAAAUUCACAAUUGGGAAAAAAAUAUUUAAAUUCCCUUACCUACGACAUUAUUUUAUAUGGCAUGCGUCUCAAGUCUUAAGUAGCCCCUGACAACCAAUCCAACUCCUUACAUAUAAAUAUCUAGGCGUUAUCAUUAAUAAAAAUAUCUCAUGGGAAGACAAGCGACUUUUUUUAAAUAUACAAACUCAAUAGUUUUAAACUAAAUUAGAAGAUCCUAAAUACUUUUUACAGCGCGUCUAUACAAAAUCUGCUAACAUACGGAAUAACUUGUUGCCAAGGCACCGCUUCAUCUAACCUGUUGCGCCGUCUAGAAACCAGCAUUACCACACUUAAAGGAACUUUGUUGAACAAAAGUGUCUAAGGAAAAUCGAAACAGCCACCCGCUCCAUCAGAACUACUUCAGGUUGUCGCGAAGUGGGCGACUACUGUCAAUCAAUACAGCAACAGAGCGGUACAAAAACUCGUUCGUACCUCACUCGGUCAGACUAUAUCAACGCCUCUCGUUGAUCAGGAAACAUGAAAAAGACCAAGAUGCCUGUGUGUAGUCGCUGAAUGAACUUUUUAUGUUGUGUCUGUUCUAUUUGUGUGUAUCUUUCCGUUGUGUUCUUUAUAUGAGAAGAGAGUCCUUGCAAUCACAACAAAUUUUCAAAAGUAUCAAUAGAGCAGUCUUAGUCUUAGUCUUAAUCUUGCCUUCACGUGUGACUCAGAUAUUUUGUCCUUCGGAACUGAUUUCUAUUAGAAAGUAUUACUAGUAGAAAAGGGCCCAUUAGCCUUGGCUAGCUACCCACCAAAAAGAAUUAGAACUAUAAAAUCAAACAUUUACUGGUUUGCAGAUAUACUCAAACAUGGGAAAAGCUUCAUAAAUCAACCCUGUGGGAAUCUUUUUGGAGCAACUCGAGCACAUUGCCUCUAUAUAUGAAAUGUCUUUAAAACCUUUGGAGCCAGUGAUCGACCCUUUGGUAGUUUGCAAUACACAGUACUACACCCUGGCACAACCUCAACGCCACUGGCUCCGAACAGUACCGGCACUAGCUGUUUCUUUGCAUACAUCAGCUUCGAAAAGAGGGGGGAACUACCAUUUUUGUGACAUCGUUUGUACUAUAGCAAUGCCUAGGCAUUCAUCUCAUUUGUCAGAGAUGAUCCAUAAUCGAUAAAUAUUUCAUUUUGUAAAAGAUUAGAAAAAGAGACUAUUGAAUACACUAGAGGUUUAAUUUUGUGAUUCCGUUGUUUUUAUUUUAAAUAUUUUUUUUAUUAGACAAUCUUUUACUCACCUGUGGGUCAAGUUAAACUUAGAAAUUGAUAUAUUUCUUUGAACACUUACAUAUUUCUAUUUAUUAAGAAUACGAAAGUAUUAUCGACCUCUUGCCUUGUGUUAUGUACUAAUCCUAUUGUAUUUUUUUUUCGAGAUAAAAUAUAUAUUCAAUAUUUCCUGGAAAAUUAAUUUAUUGAAGCGUCUAUCUCACCAAAGUAAAUACAAAAUAUGAACUUCUUAAAGCUCUAUUUCUUCACAGAAACAAUAUGAUAUCGGUUAGACAUUUUUAUUUUCUCAACACCUUUGAACAUUUUUUUCAAGAUUUUAGCUAAGUAACAAUUUUUACACUAGGUAAAAAAAUGUAUUUUCCCUUAAACUAUAAAUAGGUCUUAUUACAAAGUAAACUUUUUUUUUAUAAAUGACUGCAUAUUUUUCACCAUUGUGAUUGAACUUUUGUUUUAAGUUUUAUAGCGUCACUAAUAACUCCUAUUUAAAUCAGCCAAGUUAUAUAACACACAACAAAACACAAUACACAUUUAAUGAGUUUGAAAGUUUAAAAAUUCAUAUUAAACUCUGUUUUUAAUGAAUUAAUUUUCUACCAAAUUUACAUUCAUAAAUUUUCCCUUCAGUUAUAUCGCUAAAUAAGGAAUAUUUAAAUGUUCAUUAAAUGACCUAUGGAUGGAUGCUUGGUCGUGCGGUUUGCGCACUGGACUGUCGUUUGAAUUUAUCUAUAGUCCUUGGUUUAAACACUGCAUGCUCCCAUCCACCGUCGUCCUGUGGGAAGUUUGGACUAGAAAGUAAACUAUUUUUAAGUCUGAAGGAACAUCCGAAAUAUGUAAAACAUUUUACAAACAAACCUAUAAAAGUAUAACAAAAAACAGUUUUGUGUUGUAUUUUAUUUUUGAGUCUUGCGUUCAUAACACAUAUUAACACUAUAUCAAUCAUUAGAUGAAUACCUUUGUACCGAAGCAAUGUAUUGGAAGAAGAUGAAGACAGAAGUCAGUAGCUAAUGUAAUCACAUCUGUAAUAUAUAAAGGAAACAAAGCUGCUGGCUUUCUUUAUUUAUUUGUGGCCUAUUGUAGCUUCAAUAUAAUAUAUUUGUCCAAUAGCUCAAAAUCUUUUUUUUUACUAGGCUUUUGAAUGUAAUAUCGAACCUAAGAUAGAAAUCGAAGUUUCCCCAGCGUUAAUUUUCUUGAAAAAUAUUUCCAUUUCGACAUUCCUAGGAAAGCAUAUUACGAAAAGUUUUUAUAAAAACCAGGUUACACAAUUUCACUUUAUGAUAUAUCUUCAUUAAGAGGACUAUUGUACAAUAGUUCACUAACACUUUUGAAAAAUGCCAGAAAUAAUUAUUGCACUAGUUGGUAAAACUGGACAUGGGAAAUCCAGCACAGGAAACACCAUUUUAAGAAAAGUGGCGUUUGAACACGAUCGUUCGACAACGUUUACUACGGAGAUUUUAACAUUACAACAUGCUGACUUUGAAAAUUAUAAAGUCAAAGUUUAUGACUUACCUGGUUUGGAAUCACAGUUUAUUUCUCAAGAACAUAUUACACGACAGAUAUUUUCGCUUAUGGAAGCCGCUAAAAAAAUCGAUUUGUUUAUUUUUGUGUUUAAUUACAUAAAUCGCUUUACCCGUGAGGAAGAAAAUGCAUUUUCAUUUUUACAGAAGCAAUUCGGUCAUGAUUUUCUUACAGAACACGGCAUCAUUGUGAUCACUCAUGGAGAUCUUUUGAAAAUCGAAGCUGCAGAUAAGAAUAUGUCCUCUGAGCAGUUUUUUAGGAAGUGGUGCAAUAUUGCUGGAGAUAAAUUCAACAGCCUAAUAAAUAUGGUCAGUGAUAGGAUACUUCUUGUUGGUAACAGAGGCUCAUUUGAAAAUAACAAUGAAAGGAUAGUGUCGUCCAAGAAAAUUCAUGAAAUAGCUGUUAAAAUGUUUAACAAGUCUAAUCCUUAUACAAAAGAAGAGUUUGACAAAAUGCAUAGACCUUGUGAAAUUUUAUAAUUCAAAAAUAAAUAAAUAAACAUAUACUCCUGGCUUAUAGAGUUAAAAAUAAAUUAAUAGAUUACAACAUUUGUUUUCCGUUGUGGUAUUUAGAGAUGUACAACAUUUAAUGUUAUAGAUAUCGUUCAUGACAUUAGAUUACAACAUGAAAUAUUUUAUCCGAUUUUAUAAAUGAAUAAUCUGGUUUUGUUAGUGAAAAGCUAGUAGCAUGCUUGGAUUUAAUGCUUUGUAAAUAUUUAAGAAUAUGGAUGGGUGGAAUUCAAUAGUAAAUAUUAUGCUUUGUAACUUAUAACUUAACCUUAAAAAUUGAUGUUAAAAAGUGUAUAAUAUUGGCUAUUUUUUUGUUUCUGUUCAGAAUAUAAAUCCUAGCAUGAAAAAAAUUAAAUUCAAAUAAAUUAAUCUGAUAUUAACUGUACGAAUGUUUGCUUAAACAACAAAUAAAGAUGUACUUUGACUGAUUGAAUGAACUAAUUAAGAGCGACAGCUUUAUAUGAUCCAAUCUUUCUUUUAUAGUCCAUGACAAAUAUAUAAGAACAAUUACACAAUGUUCGAUAAUCAGACAUACACAAAUGUUCAUUUAACAAUAUGCUUGCGUUGUUUCCCUUCCCUUUUAUACACUUAAAUGCGUCAAUCGUACUAAAGUGUUAAAAACGCCAUUUGACACUAGCACUCCAAACACUUUUCAAUCACCUGGAACAGUAACUUUAGAAAAAAAUGCGGAACUAGAAGAUCUGAGUCUAUAGACAGCAAGAUUACAGAAAGACAUAUAUUUAUUUUUUUUUACAAAGCUUAUAUAAACUCACCCCGUCUAUCAGUCUGUGUUAUGUCUGUCUGUGUGUCUGUCUAUGUGUGUGUGGUUAAAAGUGUGCACACGCCAUUUUUAUCACACCCAAUAUCCUAUCGGAGGCGCGCUGGUUGAGUGGUAAAGCGCUUGGUUUCCGAACCAGGGGUCCCGGGUUCGUAUCCUAAUGAAGACUGGGAUCUUUUAUUUCGGGAUCUUUGGGCGCCUCUAAGUCUACCCAGCUCUAAUGGGUACCUGAAAUUAGUUGGGUAAAGUAAAGGCGGUUUGGUCGUUGUGCUGGCCACAUGACACCCUCGUUUACCGUAAGCCAAGAAAUAGAUGAUCUUUACAUCAUCAGCCCUAUAGACCUCAAGGUCUGUAAGAGGAACUUUACUUUACAAUCUCGUAUCAAAUUGAAAUUUCGCACAAUUAUCUAUUAGCAUAGACAACACAUGAAUCAAUAAAAAGUUGAUAAUUCGUAGAUUAAUAACUGGUAAUCAAUUAUAUUCUUUGAUACCAUAAGAGUAAAGAAAUAAUUUGAUAUUUACAGAUAUGACUACAUUUCUUGGGUUUAGUCUCCUUAAACAAUUGUUAAUGCUAGGUCUCGCUCACACAUUCUCCUAUAAAUUAUUUAUUGUAACUAACAAAAUAUGAAUCAAUAAAAAAAAUAUUCAAUUAAAUAGUUAAUAUCAGGUGACCGAGCCUCGCUCGGAUGAAUAAUUUGUUAAGGAAGGAUAAAUACCCGAAGUCAUUUUGAGAAUAUUUUUGUACCAGGUGGCCGAACCUCGCUCUGUUAAAUAAUUUCGGAAGGUUAUAUACCCGAAGUCAUUUUGGGAAUAUUCUUGUAAUUACGAAAAUGAACGAUCGGAUAAAGACUACUAAUCUGAAGAGUUGUUUUAGUGUUCUGUUAGUUCUAAUUGUAGGCCUAAUUGUACAUGUCGAUUAAAUUUAAAGUCUUUUAAGUCCUCCUACAGUCUAGACAAACUACAGCUCACGUCCGUCUUAUAGUUUUACAAUCCAUCUUUUGUGUAAAACUAUUGUAGGCUUACUAUUAUUGGCUUGGAAGAAAGUCUUUGCAAUGUAACUUCUCUACGUUAUAGGGUAAAACAUGCACUUAGUCACAAAGUAAAAUGGCGCAUUUUUUCUUAUUAGACUUAAAUCAUGGCAUUAGUUUUCUAAAGAAACGUUUCCGUGGGGCACCUCUGUUACGCCAAACAAUAGGCUCGUUACCCAUACGGGUUACGUGCCCUGCCCAGCCUGACUGUCGGACUAUAGGAAGUUCAUACCGGCUUUUGCCAUCCAUCCAUCCUAGUGGUGCUAUGGCCUGCUUUUACACAUCCAUCCAUUCAGAUCUCUCCUGGCCCUAACUCCAAGCUUUUUACCGAGGUUUAUAGUUAAAUCAAAAGAGGCUGCAGUGUACGCAAACUCGUUGACUGCUAGAUGGAUAUCAUGUUUAGUGUGAGCAAGUAAGGCGUAGAGAAGUUGUGUUAUGACCAUUUCCUUUGUUUUGGUACAGGAGAGGUAGACACUGAAGCAUGAACACAUGGUAAUAAUUCACCAGCAAAAUAAUAAUAAAAAUAAGGCUUGUCUUAGAGUCCGAAAAUUAAUGAGGAUUGCAGCUGUGACCUACAUAUCUUGCCACAUCCAGGGCAAGCAUAACCAUUGUCCGCGAUGCUCGAUUAAGAUUUUCUUUUAGCGUCUGCGUCUGUCCUCGGCAGCAAAUUUUCUUUUGGUCUCAAAUGUGUAUCCGCGGCCUUUGUAUAGAGGGAAUUCUUUAAGUCCGACAGUUACGCUGGACAGAGCAGUAUCCUGUAUGGAAGACGAAUCUCAGACGAACGCAUGCCAAAGGCAGUCUUUUUUGGUGAGCUAAAAAGUGGUCGACGUAACACCGAAAGACCAGCUUAUGGCGCAAACUUGACUUAGCUGACAUAGAAGAGAGCACAUGGUUGCAUGCAACCUCAGAACGAGACAGCUGGAGGUCACCAGCAAAAUAAACAACAAAGUAAAAGGUAUCUACACCGCUCUACACAAUUAAAGUGUAAACAACUUAUUAAGCACUUAAAACACAAUAACUAAUCAUAUAUGGGCACAUUUAAUUUCAUUACUUUUCUUUCAUAGUUCUAUAAUAAAUCAAUCUACAGUAAUAUGGUGCGCAAAUGUUUAAUUAGGUCUAUUGAUCCUUUAAAACUCGUUCUUGUUUGCAAAGAAAUAUUUUAGUAUACUGCGGUAAGCCUAGUGACGUAAACAGCGUUUUUCCCGUUUACGUCAUGGAAAAUUUUCAUUCAUAAAACAUUCUAGCCAAAAUUAAUUUUUCGAUAAUGAGGCAUUUUCAAACUGAUAUAACGGUCGACCUCGAGUUUUCCCGAUGUGGCCAAUGAGUUGAGAAUUUUUUUCUCACUAAUAUGCACAUACCUUGAAAUUUUAAAGAAAAUCGUUAGAGCCGUUUUCGAAAUAAAAUUUAUAUAUAUAUAUAUAUAUAUAUAAAUAUAAAUAUAUAUACAUACAUACAUACAUACAAGAAUUGCUCGCUUAAGAGUAUAGGAUAAUUAAUUUGCUUGUUUGAUAUCAAAUAACGGAAAUAACAUGUACAUUAUUGAUAGAUAUAGUUUAAAGAGGAAGGGUCCUUGCCUUUAGAUAAGCAUUUUUUUGUUAAGAUUUUUUUUUAAUAUGAUAUAUUACAUGGGUCUAGGAAACUGUGUGCUUUAUUACUUAUUAUACUUUGUUUUUGUUUUCUAAUGAAUGCAUAUUUAAGCAUGAUACAUGUUUUGAAACAAGACCUAGCUUUUCUUUACGGUGUUAAUGGCAUCCACACUGUAUCUUGUAUGGAUAAAUAAAACAGUAACUCUCAAAUAACGAAAUCAAAAUAACACAGGCGAAAGUCCAACAAUAUUUGUUAGUCAACGCAGAUUGUAAAUGUCGAACAAGAAGUUUAAUAAUAUCGGAUGGAGCCGUAGAAUGUCGUGAAGCUAAUUUCUCAACGUCUAUAAAAACUGUUUCUCUUUUAAGCCGUCGGAAGUAUUCUGUUUACAUUUCGCUAUUUUUCCUAAAAUCCUAUUCUUGUCUUUACUAGUCGCGUCAUUGUCUCUAAGUCAAAACUAUCAUUUUGUUUGAAACAGGUAAUCUAAAAAUAAUCGUGCCAUAACAACGAUGAUUAUGUAGGCAAGGCUAGUUAAGACUUUUUUAGUGCCAAUGAAAACAAUAUGAGAAGCAGAUAAGAGAAGCUAGGUUGACUCUUAAUAGUGAAUUGUGUCUUACAAUAUGGUUGAAACAUGAUCUUAAGGUCAGUUUUUAAUACUUAUGUAUUUUUUAUAUCUCUUUUGACAGCCAGUGCUGACUUGUAAAAGUAGAUAUUCAUUUGUUUUCUUUUUUAUGGUAACUUAUACCCUCCAGUUUUCUGUAGCCUUUACUCUAGGCCAGCAGUUCUCAACCUUUUAAGCUCGUCGUCCCCUUUUUACAACCCCCCACUCUUCUGCGACACCCACCCACCCACAUUUGCACAGCAAUAGAAUAAUUGACAAAAAACAAUCCAUUUAUCGAUGGUCUUAGGCGACACCUGGCAAAUCGUCAAUUGACCCACCAAGGGGUCGCGACCGACAGGUUGAGAACCGCUGCUCUAGGCUUUAAGUAUUCUUUCAGCGUCAGAGUCUAUCUUUCACAACUAUGUCCAUUUUGAAUUUAGCAUUAUUAUUGGAUUUAUUUUAAGUUAUAAAAUGUAAUAAAAUACACAUAUAGAUGAACAUAUUGAAAUAAUCAUGCAUAGUGACUGUACUGGUGUUGUUGAUGUCAAACAUAAUAUAAAUAAGAUGAAUUGUAAUAUCUGGUGUCGAGUCAAGCCUGUUUCUAUACUUUUACUUUGUUGUAACAUAAUAAUAAAAUAGAAAAACAUUAAAACAUACUUUAAAAAAUCAAA